rnacentral:rRNA from 1 species
AGCAGCCGCGGUAAUUCCAGCUCCAAUAGCGUAUAUUAAAGUUGCUGCAGUUAAAAAGCUCGUAGUUGAAUUUCGGGACUAAUAUGUUGGUCGUGCCUCGGUACGUACUGAUAUUUUUGGUUUCUCCCUUCUGACGAACCUUGAUGUCAUUAAUUUGGUGUCUUGGGAAAUCAGGACUGUUACUUUGAAAAAAUUAGAGUGUUUAAAGCAGGCUCACGCUUGAAUACAUUAGCAUGGAAUAAUGAAAUAGGACGUUUGAUUCUAUUUUGUUGGUUUCUAGGAUCGACGUAAUGAUUAAUAGGGAUAGUUGGGGGCAUUAGUAUUCAAUUGUCAGAGGUGAAAUUCUUGGAUUUAUUGAAGACUAACUACUGCGAGAGCAUUUGCCAAGGAUGUUUUCAUUAAUCAAGAACGAAAGUUGGGGGCUCGAAGACGAUCAGAUACCGUCCUAGUCUCAACCAUAAACGAUGCCGACCAGGGAUCGGUGGAUGUUGCUCUAAGGACUCCGCCAGCACCUUCUG